CACCUGAUUGACGAUGGAUUACCAGUGAGUGGCGGACGGGUGAGUAACACGAUAGGUAACCUGCCCCGGAGUGGGGGAUAACAUUUGGAAACAGAUGCUAAUACCGCAUAACAACAAAAGCCACAUGGCUUUUGUUUGAAAGAUGGCUUUGGCUAUCACUCUGGGAUGGACCUGCGGUGCAUUAGCUAGUUGGUAAGGUAACGGCUUACCAAGGCGAUGAUGCAUAGCCGAGUUGAGAGACUGAUCGGCCACAAUGGAACUGAGACACGGUCCAUACUCCUACGGGAGGCAGCAGUAGGGAAUCUUCCACAAUGGGUGCAAGCCUGAUGGAGCAACACCGCGUGAGUGAAGAAGGGUUUCGGCUCGUAAAGCUCUGUUGUUGGAGAAGAACGUGCGUGAGAGUAACUGUUCACGCAGUGACGGUAUCCAACCAGAAAGUCACGGCUAACUACGUGCCAGCAGCCGCGGUAAUACGUAGGUGGCAAGCGUUAUCCGGAUUUAUUGGGCGUAAAGCGAGCGCAGGCGGUUGCUUAGGUCUGAUGUGAAAGCCUUCGGCUUAACCGAAGAAGUGCAUCGGAAACCGGGCGACUUGAGUGCAGAAGAGGACAGUGGAACUCCAUGUGUAGCGGUGGAAUGCGUAGAUAUAUGGAAGAACACCAGUGGCGAAGGCGGCUGUCUGGUCUGCAACUGACGCUGAGGCUCGAAAGCAUGGGGUAGCGAACAGGAUUAGAUACCCCUGGUAGUCCAUGCCGUAAAACGAUGAGUGCUAGGUGUUGGAGGGUUUCC
rnacentral:rRNA from 1 species